rnacentral:ncRNA from 2 species
GUUGACACUAAAGGACUGGAUGUCAGGGAAGAGAGGUGAAAAUCCUCUGCUGCCCCGCAGCCGUGAAGGGAACGAAAGCCCGGUUCAGAGCCACUGUCCCGAUACAAAUCGGGAUGGGAAGGCGGGUGAGUAGAUGGCCCGAAGCCGGAAGACCUAUCCAGACCAGAAAGUUCAA